CACAGUGUUCCAUCCAGGAACCUUCACCGUGGAAACCUUUGUGCUCAUGGGCGUGGUCUCAAGACACAGUCAGCUGUUGGGGAUCAGAGGCCACACUCACCGGAGCAGUGAGGCAGAACCAACUGGGAGAGGGUCCUUCUGUGACACCUACUGCAUCACCGGGCUGUGUGAAGUGACUCAGCUGCCAGAACUCACACAAUAUCAUUCUACACCAAAACCUCACGGGAAAAAUGCUCCACGACCCUCAGGCUUAAACAGCUGUACUGGCCGCUCCCCAGAUCUCCAGCUCCCUGACCCUCAAACUCCAACUGCAGCACCAGCUCCGCCCCAGGUCUCCAGCUCCACAAUCCUCAAACUACAACAGCAGCACCAGCUCCCCUGUGGAUCUCCAGA
rnacentral:lncRNA from 1 species